CGGGACGGGUGAGUAAUGUCUGGGAAACUGCCUGAUGGAGGGGGAUAACUACUGGAAGCGGUAGCUAAUACCGCAUAACGUCGCAAGACCAAAGAGGGGGACCUUAGGGCCUCUUGCCAUCGGAUGUGCCCAGAUGGGAUUAGCUAGUAGGUGGGGUAACGGCUCACCUAGGCGACGAUCCCUAGCUGGUCUGAGAGGAUGACCAGCCACACUGGAACUGAGACACGGUCCAG
rnacentral:rRNA from 1 species